AUGGGAGAUCGGGGCGGGGGGAGAUCUGGUGGUUGGCGCGACAACACAGCGCGCGGAGGGUUCGGAGGUGGGCGAAGGGCUCCGCUACCAAAUCAGUCUCGACACAUGGUGUGGCAGCGGCCAGAUCCGCCACCGGCGACGUCGGGAGAUUCGAGAUCUGGUGAUGGUGAAGUUGGAGACAGAUGGGAAGCUGCUGCGCGUGCCAUGAGCGGCGCGACCAAGGAGAAGACGGCGGGCUCCAAGGAGCCGCCUCCGCAUCCUGCACCUGGGCAAGCAACGACCAAGGGCAAUGCCGAGAUCUGCAUCAACUGUUCCCUCCCAGGUCAUUUCACUCCUCGCUGUCCUACUAUUCGCUGUGAAAAAUGCAACAGAUUAGGUCAUAUGGCUCAGCUUUGCCAAGUUCUGAGGCCUUGGGAAUGCAUUCCUCUCAUGUGUGGGUUUCAGUCGCCUGGUCAGGGAUUCUUCUAUAUUCCUGAUAUGUGUGCUGCUAAACAUAGUGCAGAGAAAACUAAUAAUGUGGUGAUUACUAUAGUGGAGGGUGAUGCUACUGUUAAAGACAUUGAGCAGGAAUUUAAUGCUAUAUUUGCCAAAAAACCUGGGAAAAAGAAAUGGCGCUGUACGGCCCGCUCUAUUGGCCCUGCUCAGUAUGUGAUGCGAUUCCCUAAUGCUAGUGAAGUAGAAAGGGCAUGUUGUUAUGGAAAACGCUUGCCUCUGAAGGAAGGGAACAUUGUUGUAUGUAUUACUCCUUGGACUGCUUCUAUUGGAGCCAAAGGCAUUAUGGAGAAAGCAUGGGUUAGGGUUCACAACAUUCCCAUAGAGAAAAGAUGCACUGAACAUAUAGCUUAUGCUGGAGCUCUAGUUGGGAUUACUUUAGAAGUUGAUGAAUCGACCGUUCAUAAACCUGACUAUGCUAGAAUCCUUCUCGGUUGUAGAGAGGUUGAGAAAAUUCCCCCUUCAGCUGAAGGAAUGCUGGGAGAACAGUAUUAUGAUUUUUUCUAUGAAGUUGAAAAAGUUGUGACUGUGGGUGCUGAGAAAAGUCAGUCCUAUACUGCUGUGGAUAGCAGUGCAUCUCCUUCCUUCCCCAAGAAAGCAAGGAUGGACUCAUAUCCUGCUUCUUCCAUGGGGCAGGGGGAGACGAAUACAUCCAUGACUGGUAAUGUUUCCUCUCAGAACUAUGGUAAGGGUAUGCAGAGGCUUCCGGCAGUGGCUGAGAGUGAAGAAGAAGAUGAGAGUGAGGAAGGUAACAACACAGAGCUUCUGAUUGAGACUAUGGCCAGAGAACAUGCGGCUGAAAAAAUGUCUUAUUGUGGAUCUCAAUCUGAUAAAAAAUCAUGUGAGAAUGUCUCUAAGGAUUUGAAAGUGGAAGAGAUGACUGAAUCUCCCAGUAAUGAGAUCAGUGUGCAUCAAGGUGCUUGGGGAAUGAUUACUCCUGUUCCACCCUCACCUCUGUUUAUGUGUCACGAUGUGAAUACUUAUGGGAAUGCUUUUCCUCCCUUGUCAGACUAUGUGGUUUGGCCCUCCCUGCCUCACAUUGUGCCUCUCGAAGAGGGUUUCAUGGAAGGAGGAGAAAACUGCAGUGUCUAUACAGUUGAAUCUCCCUCUGGAUCCCCAAUUCAUGACUGCAUGAGUCAGGGAGAAGAUAUCUCGCGCAGACAGAAGCAGAAGUUGGAGAAGGUGGGAGAUGUGGCCACCAACAGAAUGAAGAAGCGCAAUUUGGAAGGUUUGCUAAAGGAAGAAGAAAGGGCGAAGCUCCAGGCUGGAGUGAAGAGGUUGGCUCACGCGGCUGCUGCGCUGGCGGACAGGUCCCUCCCUCGAGGCAGAUCCCUUUUGGGUGACAGAGAAGGGAUCCAGAUUGGUUAG
rnacentral:rRNA from 1 species